AUUUUGUGAGAUAGGUAAGGAGUAAGGGAACUGAGGCCCAAAGAACAUACGAAUCAUGCCCCAAGUCACAAAUCUUGUAAUUGCCAGAACUGGGACUUGACAAGGCCUCAUAAAUUCUCUAAGUGACUUGACUUUACCAUAUUUAUAAAAGUAGUUGGAGCUGGAAUGUGAGGGAGCAGGGUAAGAGGGGAAAGGAUUGAACCGACUUUACUAGAGUUCUUUAAAAAUUAAAACAUGGUCAGUUCAUGACCUUUGAUUUUUGAACAAAUUCCAAGGAAUGGUCUUUGAUUUUGUAACCAGACAAGUCUUUGAUAUCAGCAUCAUGAUCCUCAUCUGCCUCAACAUGGUCACCAUGAUGGUGGAAACCGAUGACCAGGGAAAAUACAUGACCCUAGUUUUGUCCCGGAUCAACCUAGUGUUCAUUGUUCUGUUCACUGGAGAAUUUGUGCUGAAGCUCGUCUCCCUCAGACACUACUACUUCACUAUAGGCUGGAACAUCUUUGAUUUUGUGGUGGUGAUUCUCUCCAUUGU
rnacentral:sRNA from 1 species